UUGUCAUGAUAUAGAAGGAGAGGGAAAGAUUGGAGGCAAAGUCCUUGAGGAGGCACAAAAGACAGAAUCCCAGGCAGAAGCAGGGAAGGUGUCCCCAUCAGAGCCGGAACACUCUUGCUGAGACAGAAGCAUGGCAGAAGAGACCAGUCCAAUGCAGGCAUUAUAUUUAGAAAACAGUUAUUACAACAAAUAGUGCUUUAGAAGAUCUGAAUCUCCAAAUCAAUGUGCUCCAUGAACGGUAUUAUGCCAGAUACUGGAGCUAAAAAGAUGGACAAACAGCCUUUCUCAAAGAACUCAUAAACUGGAGAGGAGAUGUAUGCAAGAACAACAAGCUAGACCACAUUGUGAUAAGGACUUAUCUAAUGGUAUGAAGAAGUGGUGUAGCAGAGAGGAGAGAGCAAUUAAUCCUGGGGCAUGGACGGCCUUCAAGAGAAGAAAGUGAUAUUGCAGCUUGAUCAUAAAGGGUUAUGGGAAUUUUUCCAGGCUAAGAAGGAAAUGAAGGGUAUUCCAGGCAUGAACAAAAGCACAGAGAAUUGACAGCACAUAUUGUUUAGGGGAAGAGCAAAUUGCGGGAAAUUAGCUUAGAAUGGGGUAUGAUACCCAAAUAAUGAAAUAUGGAAGGUAGAAUGUUAAGGAGACAUCUCACCAAAUUAAAGCGCUGAACUUCACUAGGGUCACUGGAGGAGCCUUUGAAAAGUUUCAAUAGGAAACAGCCUAAUUGGAGCUGGGAUAGAACACAUUGGAGAAGGAGGAGACUGAACAGGGAGACCCAUCAGGAGUAUCAGUAAUUCAGGCUGAAGAUGCAGAAACAGCGGCAGGCCCUGAGCAGCAGGGAAAAAAAGGGAAAGUUGAGAGCCACGUGGGAAGUAAAAAGGACCCACUGGCAACUGAUUAGAUGUGAGUGUGGAGGAAGGGAGAAUAUGUGCUUAAUAAAUAUUUAUGGUGGGAUAGUAUUUUAUGUUUUAAAUGAUUUAUUUCCUCAUCCCAUAUACAAAAUACCUUGUUUUUCCUUGCUCGGUUAGCUAGGGCACUUCCUCCUCUUUGUCCUGAAGUUAGAGCUAUUGAUGAAGAACCAAACAGAAAGAAAAAUGUCACUGUCACUGAUACAAGUUCCAGAACAGGGUCUCGGUCACUUUUCUAUUUCCAAUAUUUAAAAUAGAGUCUGACACGUCCUGGGGUCCAACAAAUAUUUGUUGAAUAAAAAAAAAAGCUGGGAAUUGAAUUUCAAAAGAGAGUUUUGGAGAUUAUGGUAUAGACAAUAGCUUUCAGGCAAAAAGUUUUUGAGUAAAUGGCAGCUUGGUUUAAACAUCAAGAGCUGAGGUUCUGGCCUAAACCAGAGGCAUACAGAUAAUUGUUAUCAUGCUAUGCAGAUGAAAAUAAUCUCACAGGCUGGGGUAGAGUGUGGACAGGGUUCUGAGCCGGACCCCCAGGGGUUAGCUCUAAGGAGGGGAGAGGAACGAUGGAACUCUCUGAAGAAUUUGAGGAUAAGUGGGAGGACUGAGGCUCUACUUCCCCUUGGAAUACACAGGCGGUCCCCACAUGAGAGUAGAUACCUGGAUGGCAUGGUUCAGCUGAGGACUGGAGAGAGCUCCCCCAGUGUCUAGUGACCCAGAGGGACACAGAAGAGCAUCUUACCUGAGAUGCAAGUGAAAGCUUAGAUCAUUCUUAAUACAUAUCUGGGAGCCAGAGUCUAAGGGGAGAGAAGGAUGGAACAUUUGACAUUUGAAAGUCUUCAGGGAGUACUGGGCAAUUAAAAAUUCAAAAGGAAAAGGGCUAUGAGAAGUGUUUUGGGGGCUUUGAGUUGGGUCCCUUUUAGAAUCUUUUGAGAGAGUCAAUAAAGAAUGGAAUUCCUUUAUAAGUACUUUUCAUCUUUUGUAUUCUGCUGCCUGAAACAACAGGACCUAACAAUAGGACCUACAAACAGUCCUGACCUAAGACGGAACCAUGUGAAUCCUAGCUUCAGUAGCGCAGCAUUCAAAAGACCUGUGCCUAGGGAAGCACUUGAGAGGAAUUUUUAGGUCUUUCCUCCUCUUCAUGGUGGUUACUCUUGGAAUGCAUGUGAUUACAAGUAGACAGAGGGAGGGAGUCUUAUUUUCUAGUACUCCUAAUAACAGUAAACAUUCAUUGAGUGCUUACUACCAGAUCACCAAUUCCUAGAUAGCCAUCUUCAUAGUUUUAAAUCUUUAAAAAAUCAGGAUAUGUCUUUUAAACACAAAUUACCAGUGUUUUUGUUUGUUAGUAGUACCAAUAAUGGCACAUAUUACUCUCAGUGGCAUCUUAGUUUAAUGCAAUGCUGUAUGCAUCAGAUACUAUCCUGAGCAUUUGAGAUGUACUAUAUUAACUUCAUAAUCAUUACCAUUUUACAGAUAGGAAACUGAGGCGUAGAGAAGUUUCAUAGCCUGCUCAAGGCCAUGCAUAUCAUGGAGCAGGCAGUUAAAGUCUGGAAAGAGCCCACACUCAAGUUCCUAUACUCUGCUGUCUCAGGCUGGAGAGCCCAGGGUGCCCCCACAGGGAGGCUGCUCUGCUGAGUUAUGUGACUCACAUUCUUACAUGGAGUCCAUCAAACAAUCUCAAAGUUGGCACUGUUUCUAUUAUUUAAUAUUUGAAGGAAAUAAGUUUUUUUUUUUUUUUUUUUAAAAAAAAAAAGCUUAAGUAACUUAAAGUCACACUAUUGGUAAGCAGCAUUGGCCUGACUCCAAAGUCUCUUUUUUACCUGCUUAAUUAAGUCUUUGAGAGGCAAUCUGCUCUAUAAAAGAACAGGAAGAUAACAUUCUAAAUUAAGAUAAUUUUUAUAUUGAGAUAUUUUAUAAAGAAUCUGUGAAAAGUAUGUUAACUAUGCUAUGACUAAACCUCCAAAAGUAUUUACUGUCUAUACCAGAUAGGAAAAAAUAUGCAUAUAUGAAUUUAAAUAUUGACAUGGUUAGGCUUUGUGUCCCCACCCAAAUCUCAUCUUGAAUUGUAAUCCUCCUAAUCCUCAUAGUCCCCAGGUGCCAAGGGAGAGAUCAGGUGGAGGUAAUUGAAUCAUGGGGACAGUUUCCCCCAUGCUUUUCUCAUGAUAGUGAGGUGUCACAAGAUCUGAUGGUUUUAUAAAGGGCUCUUCCCCCACAUUUCACUCUGCAUUUCUCCUUCCUACCACCUUGUGAAGAAAGUGCCUUGCUUCCUCUUCACUUUCCACCAUGAGUGUAAGUUUCCUGAGGCCUCCCUAGCCAUGCUGAACUUGAGUCAAUUAAACUUGUUUCCUUUCUAAAUUACCCAGUCUCUGGCAGUUCUUUAUAGUAUGAAAACAGACAAAUAUAAAUACAUUUGUUUUAAAAAACAAAUUUCCAGGUACUGGGAUUUGGUUACAGUUCUGUUUUGAAAGGUAACCAGAGUAAUUUCAGUAAGAUCUUGUAUCCUGAUGAUAGCUGGCAAUAAACGCAUCCUGAGCUGGCUCCCUGGAGUAAACACACAACAAAGAAAAAAUUCAGUUGAAACGAAAGGUGCUUAUGAAAUUCAAAGACAUUUUGAUCUUCAUUCUUUUAUUAAAGAUAAUGUAUCAAUUUUUAUCCUGAUUAUAGCAGUAAUAAUACUGAUUUGCUGAUCCUGAUAUAAGACUUGCUAUUUGUUCUUCCUUAUUCAAAUAUAUCUGAUUCACAGAGCUUCUAAACGACUAAGAUUUUUAAGAUCAUAAAUCUUUGUGUAUGCUAAUUGUUUUUCUAAUGAUUUUCAGACGUUAUUACAUUCCCUACAGUGGCUGAGGUAGGGAAGGCUAGUAUUUAGAUCACGGUUUUAUAAAUAACAAAACUCAGGCAAAUAGAGGUUAACUUGGAAAAGGUCAUUGGUAUUGCUGGUAAACUUAGGGACAGAAUUCUGGUCUUCACACUCAGACAGACGUGCUUGGCAUUUGAAAUGAGCUCUAUAUAAAUGCCCACUUUUAAUGCACUUAAAUACUAGGCAAAUGGACUUGUUUAAUAAUUAACCAAUAAUCACAGAUUGAGUUUUGGUUAUCAGAAAAAGUGAAAGUUUCCAAUACUAAUGUUAUAUAAUAGAUGUUUAUAAUCUGUAAGAAUCUAUAUAAUCUUCCUAGAAUGAAUUCAUUGCUCUGUUUGUCAAGAUGAGUUUUUGUUAGGAGAAGCAUACCAUAUAUUGAUUAGUGUGUUUCAGGCACAAAUUUAUAAAGAUAAGUCUUGGCUCUCUAAUUCACUCUAGUUCAAAAACAGCUUAAAUAAGAAAGUGAAUAUAAAUUUGUAAGAGGAAUUAAUGCAAACUGCUCUAAAAUUCCAAACUAGCAUUUAAGUAGUCUAUACUUUCAUGUAUAUAUUAUGGCAUAACAUUUAUAAACAUAUUCGUGACAGUCCCACUGCAUGGGAACAAAUUUGAAAAAGGAUGGGUCCUAUUGCAGGUUCUACUCUCUGGCCCAAGGGUUCAAACGUCAGAGGGUGUGAGGGGCAAAGUGAGGCUACAACGGGAGUGAGGUUAGGAGGGGAUACCCCCUUCGGAACGUUUUAGAAAUAUGUGUGACUUGUCUUUGUUCUUCUUGUGUGUAACCUCAGCAUUUGCAUAUUGAAAUACUUUUUUAAAAAUUAUAAAUUGCUUUCAUUUCAUAUCUCUGGCACAUUAGUUCAGACACUAUGUUGAUUUUUAAAAAUUGAAUGUAUAGGCAAGCAUAUUAUCUAUAAUUUCAUUACCAGAUAGUAACGGAGACAUCUAAACCAUGUGAUACAGAGAAGACACUGCUUCUAGGGCAUUGCUCUACAUCAGGGUUCUCAGUAAGUGUGGUUUGCAGACUGGCACCUUCGGCAUCAGCUGGGAACUUGUUAAGAUACCAAUCCUCGGGCCCCACUGCAGGCUUACUGAAUCAGAAACUCUGGGGAUGUGAUCCAGUGAUGUGUUUUCACAAAAGUUGUGUAUCCAGGAGAUUCUGAUGUUCAAGUUGGAGAACCACUGCUUAGACUAAUGGUAUCUGCAGUCACAUUGUUAUUAAAGGAACAUGGAGGUUUUCACUUUCUGAAAUGUGUGGUCUUCUAACUUUUGUACUCAUGCAAUGCUGUAAUUUCUGGGCAUCUUUGAUCUUGAAAGCUAAAACACCUGGCUGGGUGUGGUGGCCCAUGCCUGUGAUUCCAGCACUCUGGGAAGUCAAGGGAGGAGGAUCGCUUGAGCCCAGGGGUUCAAGACCAGACUGGACAAGAUAGUGAGAACCUGUCACUACAAAAAAAUGAAGAUAAAAAACUUAACUGGAAGUGGUGAGGCACAUUUGUAGUCCAAACUACUUGGCAGGUUGAGGCAGGAGGAUUGCUUGAACCCAGGAGUUCAAGGCUGCAGUGAGCCAUGAUUGUACCACUGCACUUCUGCCUGUGUGAGAGUGAGACUGUGUCUCAAAAAAUAAAAAAGCAAGCUGGAUAAACACCCUAGUGAAGCAGCAGUGUGUUCUAUCCAAACAUACUCCUGCAGUGCUCUUGGGAGUUACAAUUCUCAGCCUCAGCACAGUAUUUCUUCCAUGUACUAAUGUGUUUUGCUUUAUCUGCUGAUAUUUUGAGUGUCUGGAGGUAACAAAGAGUAGGGAUGGCGUUAUUGUAUUUACAAACAUUAUUUACAAAUCUACUCAGUAUUUAGGAGGGGCCCUGGGAAACAGAGGGAUUGCAUUAUUUCCCUGCUAAAUGGGCAAAGAAAAGUAGUUAGCUAAAAUAAAACAUACUAAAGAGUAAAGAGAAUUGGGGUGAGAGGCAUGGGGGGCAGGAACAGAAAUGAAAUGGAAGCAGCAGAGAGAAGUGGAAAGAAAGGUUCAGAGUCGAACUCAGCCCGGGAGAGAUGAACAAGGAGGUCUCUUGUUUGGUGGGACACACACACACACACACACACACACACACACACACACACACACUCUCUCUCUCUCUCCUUAAUAACUUUAAAUGAAGUCCUCAGACUCCCUUCCUUUGCUACUAACAGAAUAUUCUAUUUUGUUGGAACCUUGUUAAAUAUGUAUCUUACUUUCAUGCUGUUUUUGAAAAGUUAUUAAAAAAAGAAGCUAUGGGGUUUUGUUUUUUAAAACAGUAUAAAAUCAUAUAAAAUGACUAAAACUAAAUGUUAGAAUAUUUCCAUAAGUUUAAAGUUAACAGAAUAUACAUUAUUGAUAUUAAAAAGACAGACUGAAUUUGAAAAAAAUAAAAUGACAGGUAAGUAUUUUCUUAUUUAAAAGAUGUUUUAGUCUAAAAAAAGCAUUUUGAAAGCUUUCCUUAAGGUACCUAGGACAAAACACUUUUGUACAAAAACUGAAAAAAGCAUAAAAAUGGGGCAAACAUACAAUUUUUAAACUAAUGGAAGAAAAUCAGAAUCUUCCUGUAAACUCCUAGAAAAUCAGAAUCUUCCUGUAAAUUCCUAUGAAGGGUUACAAUGACAACUUAAAUUUUUAUCUAAAGCAGUGGAUAGCACUGUACUAUUUACACAGCACAUACCCAAUAUAAUGUUCUUUAAAAAGGCAUGACCGGAGACAUGAAGACAAUCUUCAGUUUUUAAAAUUUUAUCACUUUAUGCCUCUAUUUCCUAGAAAGACACUGAAAAAUUUUUUGAUAAUAAACCAGAUCACUCUACCAAAUGAUUUACAUAACUUUAUAAUACCUUAGGAACAUAUUAUCUGUUCCAUAUCUAAGAGUGUUUAGUAACUUUCUGGAUAAAAAAGUAUCAUGAAAAUUAUCCUUUGGAAAGUCUAUGUUUUUUUCCCAUGUAAAAUUGUACUGCAACGCUUCUUGCUAAAGGCUCACACAGUGAGACGAGACUGCCACCAUGUGGGAUAAGCAUGUGUCACAAUAAAAAAUAUAUAUAUUUCAAAAUCAAAUAAUCCUUCAAUGUAAUAAGAGAACUACUACGUCUUUUAUUCUAAAACACAACAGAAACAGUGGUAAGUACUGUUUGGUCUUCUUUACAUUUUUCAAGAUUCAUUAAUGUGAUACUCAUUUUUCGUACAAGUAGUUGGACACUGACACUCUGUGGAAACUAUCCAUAUCCUUGCUACUCAAAGUAUGUUCCAAGACCAGCAGCAUCUAUAUUAGCUUGAAGCUUGUUAGAGAUGCAAAAUCAGGCCACACCUCAAAUGCAAUGAAUCAGAAUCUGUAUUUUAAUAUGAUCCUCAGGUGAUUCGCGUACACACUAAAGGCCAAGAAGCAUGCACUCAGAUUUCAUUCCUAUUCCUUAACUCUCACCCUGUCUCCUUUACUCUCAAUCCACCCAACACAGGGGUAGGUGUUUUUCACCAAAAACUCCAGAUAGUCAAGAAAAAUAUAGUUGGUAUUACCUGAGUUAUAUGAUUAGCUUCACUUUCAGUAAAUGUGGGAAUCUAUUUUUUUAAUCAAUUAUUUUCUUAGGUUAUUAAUAGAUUAAUUCCAUAAUUCAGAAAAAAAUUAGAACAAAUUUUCCAGGAAAAAGGGCUUGUUUAGUUUCAGGAGAGAUUAGAGUAUUUUAUUUUGCCCAAUCAGAGCCCUUCAGCAUAAAGAGACAUUCAUAUACAUAUAUAUGAACAUUUUCCAGAAACAUUAAUUAAUUUAUAAUACAUUUUUUAAAAUACCAGCUUAACGGUAUUUAUUUACAAAAAUAUUUCAUUACCUAAUUUUAAACUUUUUGCUGUGAUGACAGUUUGUAAAGUACAGGAAUGCAAAAUAACUACAAAGUUUAACACGUUUUUAGUGUUUCCAAUAGUGCUUUUCUUUUUAGAUGAAACAAUACACAGAUUUUUUUUAAACCGUAUUUCAAAAUGCAUAUUCCAGCAAUUACCUUUGAGAUAGUUACUGGGACUGAGCAAGAUUAAAUAAAAAGUGCAGCAACUGAAAAACACCUGCAAGUUACAGUUUAAGGUAUACACAAGCUAGAGCUCUAUACCAAGCAUGCUUGCCCCUGAAGUGGACAAUGUUAGAAAAACUUAAUCUUGCUCUUUUUCAUAUUGUCUUUUGGUAAUGCAUUUACAAUGAACCAAUAGUAUAACUAGAAAGCAAAAGUGUUUUUCUGGUUCUAACUAUCAUGUGGAAUAGAGGUCACACCUAAAGUAUCACAGUACUAUUUAUUUACAAAAAAAAAAAGUUAAAAAAAUUAAAACAAGAUUUACCCUCUUUGCAUUGCUUUCCAUUGCUAUGUUGAUUGUAUUUUCAACUCCUUACACUGUCUUCAGUUGAAGCAAAGUUUAGACAAUACAAAACAAAUAGCAAAAGUAAAUAAACAAAAACAAACAAAACCAACUACCAAAUAAAUAGGAUUCCAUUGCCAUUAACCUAUAUCCAUUUGAAAUGCCUGAAUCAAACAACCUACAAUAAAUACUGGUUUAUUUACAUGUCAUACACUAUAAAAUUUUAAACGAUAAGCCUCAUUGUAAAAUACUGGCAAAACUGACAUUCAUGAUUUUUCUGAUGUAAAGAAUAAAAUAAAGAGACCACUUACAUGUAGCCCUGGACUACUGUACUGAAUUUGUAAAUGAAUUGUGCCUAUAUUGUUAAAAUUAAUUUGACUGUAUUAAUAACUGAAGAAAGCAAUGUUAUAACCCUGGUAAUUGGGAAGUUAUUAAAAUCAUUUAAUUCAUCUGAGAAAGGUAAGCCAGUUUUCCCUUUUUUUCUUUUUUUGGUUGUUUUUGGUUGCAACAACUGUUUUCUGUCUACAGAACCUUUUUUAAAACUUCGGAGGCAGUAGUAAAAUCAUUAAUAUUCACAGGAAAAAUAAUUCCCAUAGCACUUUACAAGAAAUUGAUCAGAGUGAUGAAAAGUGCAAUUAACAAAAGCUGUAAACAGUAUCUUCACAUUCAUUUUCAAAUGAAAAGAAAAAUCUGUGGGCAUAAAUUUCAAUCCAAGAGAACAAAUACCCUAAAAGGGAAAAGAAAAAAGAAGGACAUUUAAGAUAUAGGAGUGCUUUUUUCCCCCCAAAGUAAAUACAGAUUAAAAAGUCUAAGAAUGUUGAUCAAGUAUCAAACUGAUAAGGAACAAAUUCUAUAAACUACAAAAUAAAAACCUUCAUUGACAAAAAUACAUAAACUCUGUUUUCAUUUUUGGAAAUUUAUUUUUAAAAAAGGUAGAAGAAAAUACCUGGAAAACUAUUUUAAAUAUAUAUAUAUAUAUCUAUAUUUUAAAACAAUAGUUAAGGUAGGCAUCCAACAGCAAACUGAAGCUAUUGAGAAAGAUCUUGCAAUUAUUGUUGUGGGCAUUUUCCCCCAAAAUAAAAUUAAUAUUU